rnacentral:rRNA from 1 species
AAUAUUUGACAAUGGGCGAAAGCCUGACCCAGCCAUGCCGCGUGUGUGAUGACGGUCUUCGGAUUGUAUAGCACCUUAAGAAGGGAGGAAGGGUAGAAAGCUGAUACCCUGCUGGUAUGACGUUACCGACAGAAUAAGCACCCGCUAACUUCGUGCCAGCAGCCGCGGUAAUACGAAGGGUGCAAGCGUUAAUCGGAAUUACUGGGCGUAAAGCGCGCGUAGGUGGUUUGUUAAGUUGGAAGUGAAAGCCCCGGGCUCAACCUGGGAACUGCUUUCAAAACUGGCAAGCUGGAGUAUGGCAGAGGGUGGUGGAAUUUCCUGUGUAGCGGUGAAAUGCGUAGAUAUAGGAAGGAACACCAGUGGCGAAGGCGACCACCUGGGCUAAUACUGACACUGAGGUGCGAGAGCGUGGGGAGCAAACAGG